GAUGGUUUGGCCAAGUAGUCUAAGGCGCUAAAUUUAGGCUUUAGUGUAAGAGGAUGUGGGUUCAAAUCCUACAGCCGUCA
rnacentral:tRNA from 1 species